rnacentral:ncRNA from 1 species
GUCGUGGGCGACUGCGAAUCUGAAGGAAGUCUUAGGCAAAUAUGGGGGCUUACGAACAGAAACUGUAUAUAAGGCGGAUCGGGUGAUGUUGCCAAACAAACAGAAGCCCAAUACUGCACGGGGACUGAUACGUAAAUACGGAGGCCGCACCCAUAGGAAGUUGAUUG